rnacentral:tRNA from 1 species
GGUGGCUCAGUGGUAGAGUGCUUGCUUUGCAUGCAUGAGGUCCUGGGUUCGAUUCCCCAGCACCA